CUGCGGAGGGAUCAUUACAGAGAAACUCGCCCGCAAGGGUGACUCUCCAACCCUAUGUUAAUUAUACCUUUGUUGCUUUGGCGAGCCGCUUCGGCCACCGGCUUAACGCUGGUGAGUGCUCGCCAGAGGACCCUAAACUCUUGUUUAAUAAUGUCGUCUGAGUACUAUAUAAUAGUUAAAACUUUCAACAACGGAUCUCUUGGUUCUGGCAUCGAUGAAGAACGCAGCGAAAUGCGAUAAGUAAUGUGAAUUGCAGAAUUCAGUGAAUCAUCGAAUCUUUGAACGCACAUUGCGCCCUGUGGUAUUCCGCAGGGCAUGCCUGUUCGAGCGUCAGUACAACACUCAAGCCUAGCUUGGUCUUGGGCCUCGCCGGAGACGGCGGGCCUUAAAAUCAGUGGCGGCGCCUGUUAGGCCCUAAGCGUAGUAAUACUCCUCGCUACAGGGACCCGGCAGACGCUGGCCAGCAACCCCCAACUUUCUAAGUUUGACCUCGGAUCAGGUAGGGAUACCCGCUGAACUUAAGCAUAUCAAUAAGCGGAGGAAAAGAAACCAACAGGGAUUGCCUCAGUAACGGCGAGUGAAGCGGCAACAGCUCAAAUUUGAAAUCUGGGCCUUUCAGGCUCCGAGUUGUAAUUUGUAGAAGAUGCUUCGAGCGUGGCACCGGUCUAAGUUCCUUGGAACAGGACGUCAUAGAGGGUGAGAAUCCCGUAUGCGACUGGCCGCCUUCGUUCAUGUGAAGCUCUUUCGACGAGUCGAGUUGUUUGGGAAUGCAGCUCAAAAUGGGUGGUAUAUUUCAUCUAAAGCUAAAUAU
rnacentral:rRNA from 1 species